GUUUGCGUGUUGCAUCCCAAACUCCGGAAGCUGCAGGCAGAGGAAAGCACACCUUGCAAAUACAAUCCCUCGUGGGGGAUGUCAUAUCAGGGCUCCCCGACAUCUCUGCUCAUUUGGCCAGAAGUACAGAAAGAACACCAGCGAUCAUCAUCGGAGGAAGGAGGCUGGCAGAUACCUGCUCCGUUUCCCUGACACAGGGAGUGACCGUAGGGGGCUCUCCAGGAGCAGGGACUGGGGAAUGCCUAGGAAGGCCUCUGACACUGCCCAGGCCACUGUCCCUGGUGGUACCACACCGGACUGUGGUCUAGGACCCGGAGCCCACGGAGGCCGAGCCCGAGGGAUCUCCAACAAAAUGAGCUGGGCAGGGAGCUGUCUCUGGAAUGUGGGGGCCUGGGUACCUCGGUCUAGCUCUGAAGAGCCAGAGCCGACCCCAACUUCCCCUGCAGCUCCAGACGGGGGGGCUGGUGCCUGGGGAGACUUCAGCAGGAGACCAGGAGCCAGCAGGGGACAAGGCACCUGCCCACAGAGAGCCUGAUGCUGU